rnacentral:lncRNA from 1 species
CGUGAGAUGCCCCAUUGUCAGUUGCACAUAUUAAUUUUAGUUUUAGUCACAUGUCACAUGGGAGAGAACCAAGUAUGUGAACAUUUCGAAAUAGAGAUAUUGGGUAUAGAUGAAGAGGAAGCUGCUCAAUGUACAGAAUCGUCUGGAGCAUCUGCCCGUCUCCUCUCAGAUCCUCUCUCCAGUGGUGACUCAGGCAGUACAGGCGCGCGCCUGCCAGUCUACAAAUAUGCUCAAAUCAGUUGACCACCGCCAACAACAUUAGCUGUAUGUACAAAUUAGAUUGGAAGGAUGUCAGGACAAAGAAUUUUUUUGGUGGAAGAAGGAUUCGUACAUGAAACGGAAACGGAAAGAAAUAUAGGGGGACCUGAUGUACUGUUGUUGCCCAUACACAUGUCCUCUCUUGUACAGUGCCCUCCAUCACCUCCAAUCUGAAUUCUGCAGAGCACCAAUAGAGGCCCGACCUCCUUGUGCAGUUGCUGGAGCACCAUGGAGAAGAACAGGUUGCCCACAAAGAGUUCCCUGUACUAAGAAAAAGUGUGGAAGAUUGAAUUAAAAUAGGCGUUGAUCCACCGUCGUCGGCUAGGAGCAGGAUGAGACGUCAUCCGUCACCGGCGCCGUUGCCGCCAGAGCUAUGCAUGUGGAGAUGUGUCCCAAAGACCAGUGGCCCUUGCCGCACGCUCGCCCCGCCCAGGACUACCUGGAAACCUAGCACGGUUUUCAUCGCCGCAACCUCAGCGGAGGCAUCGCCGGCUCGUUUCCGCUGCCGCCAGCUCGGUUAGGGAUUCUCAGGGCCUGAUAGAGAAGGGGGAGGAUGAGCGAACUGACCUGGAUGCAGCCGCUCUAGCACCGGAUCCCCUCCGGCGCCUCGCCUUGGCUGGAUCCCCUGGACCGCCGGUGGCCUCGCACGGUCGCACCCGUCUUAUCAACUCCCUUGAGCGCUAGAUCCCUCACGACGGCUGGCAUCCGCUCGACCCCCUCGACCACCAGUUCCGCUAGCGUCGCCUCCUCGGCUACAGAUGAUAUAAUGGGCCAUUGAAGCCCAGUCAACG